AAUAGUACCUUGUCUUGUGGUGGCGGCACAUGCGUUGAUCCCAUCACUUGGGAGGCAGAGGGCAUGGCGCUCUCUUUGAGUCCAAGGCCAGCUUGGUGUACAGAGUGAGUUCUAGGACAGCCAGGCAGGGCUACACAGGAAAAACCCAGUCCAGAAAAACCAAAUUAAAUGAAUAAAUGGACAGGAAAGAGAGCUCAGGAGAAGACCUGGGUUGGAUCCCAGCACCACCCACAUGGCAGCUCACAGCCACCUGCAGUUCUAGUUGCAAGGGAGCCGAUAGACUUCUUGUAAUUUUUGUGGGUCCCAGGCAUCCUUGCAGUGGACAUACAUACAUCCAUGCAAACAAAACACUCAUACACAGAAGUAAAUAUAAAAAACAAACUUAUAGGUGCUCUCCUUAUUGUCUGUGAAAAUAAGAUGAAAAAUACCAUACAAUAAGCUAGAAGAGAGUGUUGGUCGCUGCAUUGUAGUUUGUUUGCUUUAUUUCCUUGCUUUGGGGUGUUUGUGGAUAUGUAUGGCAGUUAGAAAGCUUUAGGGCUUUCUUACCUUCCUUCGUGUUGGUUCCAGAGUUUGAACUCAGGUUCUCAGGCUCGGCAGCAAGUGCCUUUCUUUACCAGUGAGUCAUCUCACCAGUCCGGAACUCGGAUCAUCUUUUUAGGUAGAUUGCUUGGUUUAUGGCAGACUUGGAUUAGUUUAUUCUUGGUUCUGAGCCCCAGAAUGGUUUCCUCUGUAACAGCAUCCAAGAUGCUUAGCACAAGUCCUUCAUUGUAAACAGACAAUUCAUGCAUAAAUUCACAAAGCAUAGUCCAUGUUCUGUGAGCCUAGACCUGCAUGGGAAGCAGUUCUCCCUGAUAACCAGGCAGCUGGUAAGGAACUGGCAGGACUCACGGGGAUGUUUAGUAGAGUGUUGGAACUAGAUGAACAUCUUACAACUGUAAUCCUACGUUCUGGAGCCUGAGGCAAGAGGCUUGUUCUGAAUUCAAAGCCAGUCUGGACUACAGAGUGACUGUCUCAAAAAAG
rnacentral:lncRNA from 1 species